UCCUGUUGCUUCUCCUCCCACUACAAAUGCUGACCAAAAGCAAUAUUUCUUCGUACUUCAGGGACUCAGCAGGCAACAGGACCUCCAAUCCUCUCCAGGUGAGAGUGGAUAGAGGCCCUGGGCAAGAGGAACCAGCAUCUUGCUUCUGUUUCUCUUGAGAAAUGGCUGCCCACCUGUCCUGCCUUACUUCUCUGUGGAUGAGUCUGUGUUUGUAGGUUGAGCUUGUCCAGUCAAACAGCCCUUUCCAGGUAACUCAGAAAGCAGUGGACACUGUGGCUGCCUGGAGCACCUGUGUCAUUUAUUGACAGUCAGAGAAGACUGGGUAGCUUUUCUGAUGUCUCAGGGUUGACAAGAAGUGGAACAAAACUCAAACUCAAGUUUAAUAAUUCUAAUUCCAUGCACUGUGUUUACCCAUGCCAAAGAAAACACUUCUUCUACAAGCAUCCCCUGGUACUUAAAUCUCAAAGUGGGUUAAUCUGAGUGAGAUGAGUUAUCUGCUCUCUAACCGUCAUAACAAAAUGAUAGAACUGCCCACUCUGACUCACAUCUGGUAUUUUAAAAACCAACAAAAAGGAUGAGAAUGAGCCCAACAACAAAGAUUUCUCUGCUUUAGGUUAGAAAGAGAAAACAUUAUUGACUGGGAUCCACCACCUACCAGGGACUUUGGUGAAUUAUUCACUAAAGAGUCUAUUUGACAUAUUUCCCAUUCAUUCAUCCAGGUUCCCAAAGUUUUAUUCAUAUAAUUCUUAGAUUAUUGAAAAGUAAGAAACCUAAAAUUAUUAAUUCAGUUGACAUA